rnacentral:rRNA from 1 species
UCCUGGCUCAGAACGAACGCUGGCGGCGUGGAUAAGACAUGCAAGUCGAACGAGAGAAUUGCUAGCUUGCUAAUAAUUCUCUAGUGGCGCACGGGUGAGUAACACGUGAGUAACCUGCCCCCGAGAGCGGGAUAGCCCUGGGAAACUGGGAUUAAUACCGCAUAGUAUCGAAAGAUUAAAGCAGCAAUGCGCUUGGGGAUGGGCUCGCGGCCUAUUAGUUAGUUGGUGAGGUAACGGCUCACCAAGGCGAUGACGGGUAGCCGGUCUGAGAGGAUGUCCGGCCACACUGGAACUGAGACACGGUCCAGACACCUACGGGUGGCAGCAGUCGAGAAUCAUUCACAAUGGGGGAAACCCUGAUGGUGCGACGCCGCGUGGGGGAAUGAAGGUCUUCGGAUUGUAAACCCCUGUCAUGUGGGAGCAAAUUAAAAAGAUAGUACCACAAGAGGAAGAGACGGCUAACUCUGUGCCAGCAGCCGCGGUAAUACAGAGGUCUCAAGCGUUGUUCGGAAUCACUGGGCGU